GCCAGAGUAGUAGAAUGUAUAACGCUUUCUCCAGUCAUGUGCUGGCUGAAAAGAUCCAGGUUCAAGCCCUGGCUUUGGCA
rnacentral:tRNA from 1 species